GUGCUAAACGGGGGGGUUGCCUCGCCUGGGGGCGGAGGACGACCCUGGCGCCUCACUGGCCGGUGGCGUGCCCGCCUUUGCCCCCGACAAGCCGCUACUUGCGUUGACGCUGCGAAGGCGGAAGGCGCUGGGGGUGGCGCAGGGCAGCGCUGGUCCGGGCUCGCAUGGGCGAUCAAAUGACACUUCCGUCUACAUUGCACAGAAAUGAGACAGAUUAGAAGAACUGCAGGAUGAAGUUAUAAGUCUAUGGACCAGACUACAAACAUCUGAUAAUCUGGUCUCUCACAGAGGUUUUUGGGGAUUGAGAUGGAGAUACUGGCUCACAAAGGCAGAUGACUGGAAUCUGACUGGCUGGCUGCAACAGAAAGGAAGAGAAUCUCUGUGCUAAAUGGGUAGAAGUGGAUCUGGUUUAUACUUCUCAGAGUGGAUUCAAUGUGACAUGUUAUGGGAAGCUCUGGCAGAAAUAUGUGGGCCUCGUUGUAAAUAAGAGGCUUCGUUUUCAUGUAUUUUUAUGAUGAAGCAUUGUAGCCAAAUGAAUGCCAUGGGACACCUCUUAAACAAGUAUUUAGAAUUUUCCUUCAAAUCUAGUCUUUUACAGCUCCUGUUCAACCCUUUAGCUGCAGAAAAUCUUCUCCGAGCAGAAACAUCACAGAUUAUGUUUCAGACAAGAGCAAAUGUAAUAUUUCCAGAGUUUCAGGAUACUUUUCAGGUACCCCAUCUCCUACUUGCUUGAGUUUAUAAGCUUCAACCCAUGUACCAUUCCAAGAAGCAGUUUGAAAAACAAUGUUGUGUAAUAAAUUUUCUUAGUCCAAAUUCAGGUGACUUAUUUCAGGGCAAAGUUUUCAACAUACUAUACUGAGUUCCACGUGACUGGAAAGCUCAUGACAGAACCCAACUGCUAUUUGAGAAUGUUUGCUGCAAACUGUAAAACAAAUUGCUGUAUUAUUAGGCAUAUAUGAGCUGUAUAAAUAAAUUGCUACUUGUAAAGGAUAUUGUAUUAUAGCUCUUAAUGUUCAUAGGUUUAGUAUCCAGGUAAAAGUACUCUGAACUGCAAAAUAAAGCACUUUUU